AAAAAUCCCAAGACCCAUGUUUAAAUAACCCAUUUUUGACAUAUCAGCGAGAAUUCGCGCCCAGCUCAGAAUUCUCACGCCCAGCGCCACUUUUCACUGCACCAGAUGUGAAUUCCAGCAAGAUCUCGCGCUCAGCGCGGAUUCCUGGCGCCCAGCGCGGAUUCUCUGGCGCCCAGCCUGGAAUUUCUCUGCACUUCUCACGCUCAGCUUGGAUUUCUCGCGCUCAGCUUGGGCGGUUUUGACAGCAUUCUGAAAAUUGAGCCUCUUGUGCGAUUCCAAAGGCGUCCAACAUGGGUAUUUGCUUCAAAUUGAUCUUUUCUUGUCCCAAAACAUGUUCUCUUGAGUUCUUGCUUGUUUUCCUCCACUAGAAUUGCUUCCUAAACCUUUAUUUCACACACUCAAACAAAGAGAUUAGAGGUAAAAACAAGCAUAUACUAAAUAAACACAAGAAAACUAGAAAACACAUUAAACGUGAGGAUAAAACAAGGUUAUAAGCUAGAAAGGAGAUGAUUUUGCUACUAAAAUGAUGCUUAGAUAAUGGUAAGAAUUAGCAUUAUCACACUCC
rnacentral:lncRNA from 1 species